CAACGGCUAUUUUCUCUCAAUUUUUUAUUAUGUUUUGACACGCCGUUCUCUCGCUAGUAAUUGAGAGAGAUCUCUCAUUACUCUCAGCCUUCUCUCUCCUUGAAAAUUAGAAAUGGCUCUCCAUUAUUGCAAACCUUCUUCUCUCAACGCCCAUUAUUGCAAACCUUCAUCUCUCUAAACUCUUCAUCCACUCUGCAACCAAUGACCCAACAAACAUACACACCUCCGUUUCUCUAUAAUCCAGCCGUGGUGGAGUAAGCAUGAAAAGCUGAGAUGCAUGAAGCUAAAUCCCUCCUCCAUUUGUGUGUUUUUUUUUCUCAUUGCAGAUUUAUGUAUCGGAAUGAAAUGUAGCAAGAUUUAACACAUGCAUGUGUGUUUAUCUGUGUGAGGAACCCCAAUCGUUGCAAAUCCGAGAUAAACAACAAGAUAAACCCCCCUGAGUCGCCAACUCCGAGAGCACAGAGCUGUUCCAGCGCCCCCAAGCUUGCAAUCUCAGCGGAUCUACACCUCAGUUGGUUUUGUAGGGAAAAAAAAUUAUUGGUGGCCUGCACAGAACGAAGGAAAGGUUGUCUUGGAUAUCACAGAUCCUGGCAGAAGCUUCCACGAACCCCAGAUCUGUGCAUCUGGGAGGCUGAACCAUCUAACGCAUCAAUACGCAUGCAUUCAUGUUUGUCAUCUAGAUGUGCGGCGACUUAGGGUGGUUGUUUGUGUUGUUUUUCUUAGAUUUGCAAAGUUUGGGGGGUCCACAUACAGAUACAAACACAUGCAUGGGUUCGAACUUGCUACAUUUCACUUAAACAAAUAAACCUGAAACGAAAGUCAUAAGAUUUGAGGAUGUUUUACCUUUAGCACCUCCGAUUUUCAUCAAGCUCCACCAUGGAUGGGUUAUCAAGGCAUGAAGGUGUGUUUGUUUUUGGGUUAGUGAUUGCAGAAAAUGAUGAAGAGCUAAGAGAGAGAGUGGGGUUGCUGUGAAAUGAAUGGGUUAUAAGAAUGGGGGUUGGGUUUGAGUUAUAGAAAUAAGGGUUACUUGUCAUAUUCUAGAGAGCGAUUGAUUGAUGGUAUAUGGACAUAUGAUGCUAUAUUAGGAAUCCUAAGAGUCUAUGUGAAGGUUGUUUGAAAAUAAGAACGGAAGAGCCGUUUGGUUCUGGGUGCGAGGAGAUGAAGAGAGCCGUUGGCUUUGGGCUCGAGGCAAAUGGAUGCAAAGCAUCCAAUGUGAGAUUAAUGACAACUAGGGUUUCUAGCACCCGUGUGGCACGCGUGUGAGCUUCCAAUUGGGGUUUCGAACUCAUGAAGAUGAGUCCAAACAAUGUUGAGCCUCUCACGUGCUGAAUGAUGCAAGAUUUGGCUAAUUGCUGAUAGGUCGCACAUAAUAAAAUGUGUGAAAAUUAGAUAGUGGGCUGCGAGAAAAAAAUUGCAGCCCAAUUGGUAGCUCACACGCGUGCCACACCGGUGCUAGAAACCUUAUGUCACAUCUCGACCCGAGCUUCACCACAUCCCGGGCUCGACUCCACCGUAACACGAUAUUGUCCGCUUUGGGCCCCGACCAUGCCCUCAUGGUUUUGUUUCUGGGAACUCACACGAGAACUUCCCAGUAGGUCACCCAUCUUGGGAUUGCUCUCGCAUGAACUCGCUUAACUUUGGAGUUCCAAUAGAACCCGAAGCCAGCGAGUUCCCAAAAAGCCUCAUGCUAUAUGGAGGUGGGCAUGUACAUAUAAGGCACAUCACCCCUCUCUCCGUUGGUCAAUGUGAGAUAUUACUAUCCACCCCUUUUAGGGGCCCGACAUCCUCGUCGGCACACUCGCACCGAAUGGUAGAGUAAAUCUGAUACCAAAUUGUCACAUCCCGACUCGGGCUCCACCAUAUCCCGGGCUAGACUCUGUCGUAGCACGAUAUUGUCCGCUUUGGGUCUUGACCACGCCCUCACAAUUUUGUUUCUAGGAACUCACACGAGAACUUCCCAAUAGGUCACCCAUCCUAGGAUUGCUCUCAUGCAACUCACUUAACUUCAGAGUUUCGAUAGACUCUGAAAUCAGUGAUUUCCCAAAGGGCCUCGUGUUAUAUGGAGGUUGACAUGUAUAUAUAAGGCACAUCAUCCCCUCUCUGUUGGCCGAUGUGGGAUGUUACACCCUAGCUAGCUCGAGCCCAUAGCCAACGGUUUUUUUCAUUUCCUCGUAUCCAUUGUCAAAUGGCUCUUCUGUUUUUAUUUUCAAACGACCCUCAUAGAGACCCUUAGGAUUCCCAAUAUAACAUCACAUGUUCCUAUGCCUUCAAUCACUCGCUCUCUAAAAUAUGAAAAGUAGCCCUCAUUUCUCUAACUCAAACCCAACGCCCAUUCUUACAACCCAUUCAUUUCACAACAGCCCCACUCUCUAUCUCUUAGCUCUUCGUCCUUUUCUGUAGCCAUUAACCCAGAAACAUACACACCUCACCCAGAAACAUCCUCAAAUCCUGUGACUUUCGUUUCAAGUUUAAUUGUUCUAACCCAUGCAUGUGUUUGCACGGAACAAAAGAAAGGAUGUCUUCUAGGAGGCCACAGAUUUGGACAAACAGAAGACAUUCGGAUCCAUAAUAGUUCCAAGAGAAGUGAACGCCUUAAGCUGCCAAACCAGUAAUUCCUCAAAGGCAAAAUAAACUCCAAAGUCUCGGUUUCUGCAAUUAGGAAGGAACCAGCAUCUGGAAGCUUGACAUGAGCAAACCAAAGGAAGAGGAGUUUGGUCAUCACAGAUCCCAAACUGCAUUUGCAACGAACAAAUCAUGGCAAAAGCUUCCAUAAACCCCAAAUCUGUGCAUCUGGGAGGAAAUUUUUUGAAUCCCUGCAAGUGUAAUUGUUGUAGAUCUGGUAAUAAAAGUUGUACUCAGUUGUGUGGUGUAUGGAUAUGUGAUUUAACUGUGCUCCUCAUCCAUGCAUCGCAAAACUGAGCAACAGAAAAUAACUGUUCAAAAUUGUGGCAUGGCACUGGAUCUACAAAAACCACCCCCAAACUUGCAUAUGUGAAUGUGCUCAUGUUAAUUACUUUAAAUUUUAGCAUAGGGUAGAUGUGGUUGAUGUUAAUGUAGAUUUGUUGCUGGGUGCAUGAUUCCAGUAUAGGAUGCUCUUUAUUUUCCAUUUAUGCAACCUGCAAUUAACCAAUAAUUGUGAAAA